rnacentral:snoRNA from 1 species
GAGCACUUGAUACUAACCGAGCUAUCCGUGUCCCAGGCCUUGUGCGGAGGUCUGAGGUACACCUUGUGAUUGCUGGGUCUGAAAAGUGCAACAUUAAAACAAGCCAUGAAGUGUUUAAGCUCAGUGUAUAAAGGAAAACACUGGGUUAUAGCUCAGAGGCACAGAA